rnacentral:rRNA from 1 species
AUUGAACGCUGGCGGCAUGCCUUACACAUGCAAGUCGAACGGCAGCGGGCCUUCGGGUGCCGGCGAGUGGCGAACGGGUGAGUAAUGCAUCGGAACGUGCCAUUGAGUGGGGGAUAACGUAGCGAAAGUUGCGCUAAUACCGCAUAUUCUGUGAGCAGGAAAGCAGGGGACCGCAAGGCCUUGCGCUCUUUGAGCGGCCGAUGUCAGAUUAGCUAGUUGGUGAGGUAAAGGCUUACCAAGGCGACGAUCUGUAGCGGGUCUGAGAGGAUGAUCCGCCACACUGGAACUGAGACACGGUCCAGACUCCUACGGGAGGCAGCAGUGGGGAAUUUUGGACAAAUGGGGGCAACCCUGAUCCAGCCAUGCCGCGUGAGUGAAGAAGGCCUGG